rnacentral:rRNA from 1 species
CGACGUGAGCAAUCUGCCUUGGAGUGGGGAAUAACGGUUGGAAACAGCCGCUAAUACCGCAUGAUACAGCUAUCCCGCAUGGGGUUGGCUGUCAAAGAUUUAUCGCUCUGAGAUGAGCUCGCGUCUGAUUAGCUUGUUGGCGGGGUAACGGCCCACCAAGGCGACGAUCAGUAGCCGGACUGAGAGAUUGGCCGGCCACAUUGGGACUGAGACACGGCCCAGACUCCUACGGGAGGCAGCAG